CAACCUUCCGUUUACUCAGGGAUAGCCUUUCGAAAGAAAGAUUAAGACCUGAUAGUAUGGUGAGAUUGCAUGAUAGCACCAUUAAAGAUUUAUCGGUGUACAAUGGGGAUGCGUUCCAUUAGGUAGUAGGCGGGGUAACGGCCCACCUAGCCAACGAUGGAUAGGGGUUCUGAGAGGAAGGUCCCCCACAUUGGAACUGAGACACGGUCCAAACUCCUACGGGAGGCAGCAGUGAGGAAUAUUGGUCAAUGGACGAGAGUCUGAACCAGCCAAGUAGCGUGAAGGAUGAAGGUCCUACGGAUUGUAAACUUCUUUUAUAAGGGAAUAAACCCUCCCACGUGUGGGAGCUUGUAUGUACCUUAUGAAUAAGCAUCGGCUAACUCCGUGCCAGCAACCGCGGUAAUACGGAGGAUGCGAGCGUUAUCCGGAUUUAUUGGGUUUAAAGGGAGCGCAGACGGGUCGUUAAGUCAGCUGUGAAAGUUUGGGGCUCAACCUUAAAAUUGCAGUUGAUACUGGCGUCCUUGAGUGCGGUUGAGGUGUGCGGAAUUCGUGGUGUAGCGGUGAAAUGCUUAGAUAUCACGAAGAACUCCGAUUGCGAAGGCAGCACACUAAUCCGUAACUGAC
rnacentral:rRNA from 1 species